AUGGAUGCGCCAGCGCCGCCGUCGCCGGCGGCGCACAACCUCAAGAAGCGCAAGUUGGACCGGCUGGAUGAGCAAGAACCACCACCGGAGAGCGGCAGGGCCGGCGACGGGGUCGGCCUCGACUUCAUCAACGCCCUUCCCGACGACCUCCUGUGCACCAUCAUCUCUCUCCUUCCCACCAAGGACGGCGCCCGCACGCAGGUCCUCGCCCGCCGGUGGCGGCCCCUCUGGCGCUCCGCGCCCCUCAACCUUGUUGCCGACUAUAGCCUCUCCCUCCAGGAGCGCCCUCACCGACCUCCAAGAGCUCUGCUUCGGCUACGGACCCGAGGCUACGGCCCCCGAGGCAUCCCGCCGUCCCAUCUGCCGAUGACCCCGACACCCUCGAUACCACAGUCCGCGCUCCGCUUCGCGCCGACACUCCGCGUCGCCAGAAUCAGCUACUGCUAUUUCCCCAAGCUGCCUGCCAAGUCUCUGAAUUUUCCGCUUCUCAAGCAGCUCAGCAUGUACAAGGUCACCAUCUCGGACUUGUCUGCGUCGUCUCUGAAUUUUCCGCACCUCAGGCAGCUCACCACGCAUGAGGUCACCAUCUCGGGGCACGCUCUGCACAGCUUGCUCUCUGGCUGCUUUUCACUGGAAAGCCUCUUACUGAAAGAUAAUGUUGGUUUUUCUGGUUGUCAUGAGCUGAUCAUCGAGGAUGCCUCUUGCCUUGAGAGGUUGCUGCCACUCUCUCCAGACUAUGGUCCCUCGACAGUCCAGAUCAUCAGAGCACCCAAGCUGCAGAUGACGGUUUUGCUGUCAAAUGGCACAUCCAAACUCCAUAUUGGAACCACAGGUUUUCAGGAAAUGCCUGCCAUCAACGUGACAACCAUCAUGCAAACCGUGAAGUUUUUGGUUAUCGACUCUGUUGGCCCUGAUCUCAAUGCAGUAAUUGGCUUCCUCAAGUGCUGCCCCUGCCUAGAGAGGCUGUAUAUCAUUUCGCACCUGAGGAAAGGAAUGAAAAAUGUGCGAAAAUAUGACACGCUGGAUCCAAUUGAAUGCCUCACGCUCCAUCUCAAAAGCGUGGUCUUGCAGAACUACUGGGGCAACAAGCCAGAUGUGGACUUUGCCAAAUUUUUCAUCUUGAAUGCAAUGGUGCUAGAACAAAUGAUAUUUAGAACCCUCAACAGCUGCAAUGACAAAUGGAUGUCUGAUCAACAUAGGCGGCUGCAAAUGGACAACAGAGCUUCUCUAGAUGCUCGAUUUGAAUUCAAACGAUAUUUCUGUCGGGAUUGGGCUUGGUUCCACGAUAACAAGCAUACCCAUGAUUUAUCUGUGGCGAAUCCCUUUGCUGAUAGGUUCGAGAAUACCAUCCUUUGA
rnacentral:rRNA from 1 species